rnacentral:rRNA from 1 species
CCUACGGGAGGCAGCAGUGAGGAAUAUUGGUCAAUGGGCGCAAGCCUGAACCAGCCAAGUCGCGUGAGGGAUGACGGUCCUAUGGAUUGUAAACCUCUUUUGUCGGGGAGCAAGGCCCGCCACGUGUGGCGGGAAGGAGAGUACCCGAAGAAAAAGCAUCGGCUAACUCCGUGCCAGCAGCCGCGGUAAUACGGAGGAUGCGAGCGUUGUCCGGAAUUACUGGGCGUAAAGGGCGCGUAGGCGGGAACUUAAGUUAGAUGUGAAAACUCCGGGCUUAACCUGGAGACUGCAUUUAAAACUGGGUUUCUUGAGGGCAGGAGAGGAAAGUGGAAUUCCUAGUGUAGCGGUGAAAUGCGUAGAUAUUAGGAGGAACACCAGUGGCGAAGGCGACUUUCUGGACUGUACCUGACGCUGAGGCGCGAAAGCAUGGGGAGCGAACAGGAUUAGAUACCCCUGUAGUC